GGAGCCUGGCCCAGCACAACAUCGAGCUCCGGAGGCUCCUGGAGGAGGAACAAGCCGCCUACAAGCGGAAGCUCCAGGCCUACCAGGAGGGGCAGCAGAGACAGGCCCAGCUCGUGCAGAAGCUCCAGGCCAAGGUGCUGCAGUACAAGAAGAAAUGUGGGGAAGUGGAGCAGCAGCUGCUGGAGAAGGCGACGGAGCUGGAGCAGGAGAGGCUGACGAUCCAGCUGGAUACCAGCGGCUCCCAGCCAGAGGAGGAGAGCAGCAACGAGCUGGAGAAUGCCCUGAUCCGGCUGGAAGAGGAGCAGCAGAGGUGAGCGGGAUCCCUGGAGGGGUGGGAUGCUCCAGACACGGUGACCCCCCAUCCCAGGAGCAGC